CAUAAUUUAUGCUCCAUUUUACUGAUAGUAUCAUAUUGACAUGCCUAGCAGCAGCUCCAGAAUUCCCAACAAGGAUUCCAGCAUCAUGAUCAUCCAAAAGAUCUACAUCUCACAAUACACUUAAUCCAAAUAUCUUCAAGAGCACCUAACAAGUCACAGAAAUGGGAAUCCAUCAAUGCUUAAAAAGAACCAGCCAUUGGAUCUGCAACAAACAGCAGAGAGAAACAUAUCAUAAGACGCAUUGGAUUUUGUAUCAUAUUAUACGAAAACCAAGCCAAACGCCAAACCUCAGGAAACUGCAAAUGUUACAAGGUCAUCACAACAAAGAAUGUCUUUACUACUAAGUCGAGAUGAUGGUAUGAGCAGCUGCAUGCUCAAAGAAUAAACAAUUAACGACAAAUCUAAAACAAGAGACCGUGAUAGAAUUGUACUGAAACAUAUAAUAGUAUCACAUCUCAUAAAUUCUACACAUAAUGGAAAAGCUGUAAAUUACUACCAUAAAUAUAUCAGCAGAAGCACUUCCGAAGAAUUGUACCAGGAUGCUGGUAGAGUGCAAGAUUAUGAAUAUAUAAAAAUGACCCAACACCAAAUAUAAUUAUUAAGGCAAUGGAAGCAUGAAGAUCAAUGAAAUCAGAGACUAUAAGAAAGUGAGAAAACCAAUGUACUCCCUCUGUCCAUGAAACAUCUUCCUAUUUUUUCCAUUUUCGUCUGUCCAUCAAACAACUUCCAAGUCCAUUUUUGAAAAUAAUUCAACUGACUAUCACUCUUACCAUUCUCAUAUAUUUACACACAUUGCCACUAAUGUACCCACCACUUCUGAAAAUAACCCCACCAACUAUCACCACUUUUUCUAAUUUGUGAGACCCCUUCUUCACUCACCAAAUAUACAACUAACUUUACUUACAACCCGUGCCGUCUCCCCUUAGGAAGAUGUUUCAUGGACGGAGGGAGUACUAUUUAACACUUAAAAUACAGAAGUAGCUACUCCGCUUUAGACAAAUUCCCUGUUUGCAACUCCGCAAACCUAAAUGAUAGUUUAGGAAUGGAUUGAAACAAAUACAUAGUUCCUACAAGCAUCCACCAUAAUGAAUGUGAUACCAGCAUUAUAAUGUUUGGAUGACCUAAUAAAUUGAACACAAAACUGAGGUUGAAAAUGCAUCGAGAAAGAACAACCUCAGACUAGAACAGGAAGACUGCUAAAAUAUCUUAUUGAAACCGUUUCAAGUUCCAAUAGCUCUGCUCCAGUAUCAAGCUUAUCUGUAUAAAGCUUCAAUACGAUAUAAGUGAAAAUAAUAUUUAGCAGUCCAUGUUAUUCGAAAUUGUAAGUAGUUCACAAGAGCAUUGUUUCACUUAAAUAGGCUUAAAAUUUGGAAUACUCAAUGUUAUUCAGCGUAAGAUUUCUGUUGCACCAAGCUGAAAGCUGUGAACUAGUAAAUCUAUAAUGACCAAACCCUAAUUCUUUAAAAUUAAUGUCAAAAUAGAAUUGAUGCAUGGAUGCCAAUAAUAGAAGUUACAAUAACAGACCAGUAAAUCAAAUCACAGACAAGGUAUACAGUUGGAGAGUGAAUGAAGAAGAAGAUGAAAACAAGCAUCCGUAGUAAGGACUAAGGACAAUGCCUUAUUAGUUAUCUACUUCUUUCCCUAUUGUAUAUCUCUUCUCAUUCUUCUUUUGCACUUCUAUUAUGUAUUCCCUCCGUCCCACUAUAAGUGACUCAAAACUUUUCGGUACGAGAAUUAAGAAGAAUGUAUAAAUGUGUUAAAGUUGGUAAGGUCCACACUUUUUGAAGGGUUAAACUUUGCCAUUUGUGGAAAUAGGCCACUUAUAAUGGGACGGCCCAAAACAAAAUACAGGCCACUUUUAGUGGGACGGAAGGAGUAUGUUUUAUCUUUUGUGUAAUUUACGGAAAACUAAUCUAGGAUGACUAAUGACUUACAACUUCAAUACCAUAGUCACACUAAAAAUGAAAUCAGGCAAACAAGUGCUACAAUACAGCAGAACUAUGUAUUAGUAAAACAAUAGGCACACAGCUUUUAGAUUCACAAGUAACAACUAGUUUUAGCUCAGUCAUAGCCUCAUAGGAUAAUUAUUUAGUGCAUUUUCAAAUAAUAAGGCAACUCCCAUAUCCAAAAGCCCCACGCCACUUGAGGGAACGACGGUCUGAGAUGUAAGUAAGCAAUGCUAGAGGUGAGAUCACCAAAAACCGAUUUCUGUCAAAUCCUUUUAUCGGUAGACACCUGAGUUCGCUUUUGAGCUAACUUUAGUGGAUGAAAUGGCAGCAGAGUCGUGAACAGGAAAAGCCCCCAACGAGUAGAGACUUGUAUUCUAUCAAUCUUGUCUUGGUUUUUCCAAGAAAGAUCCCUCAGGGAACACAUUCCCAAUCAGUCAAAGCUUUGAAGUUAACAUUGAUAAUCUUUUCUUUUUCUCAAGAAAGGAAGUCUUUCCUUCAGCCAUCAAGCCUUCAACCAAGCAUAACUGAUCCUCUCUCUUGGGAGAGAUCGGAGUAGAGAGUGCUUAUCAAGCUUUUCCGGCAUGUAAAGGAUUUUCAACUUUCGUUAGAGGAGUUGGACUGCGGUCCCGCGAAGCUGGGAACUGCUUGUUCUUCUUUGAACGGCUUAGCAGCUCUUCCAAAGACAGCCAAUAACGAUAUCAUACUGGUUCACCGAGUACAUACUGGAUUCUAUAGCCCUACGCUAGUUACUAAUGCUCAUGGUCACAUGAGUAUGCAUACCAUCAUCCAAAACAACACAAAAACAAAUUAAUGAACUGCAACGUAUUAUGGUCAUACCUGUUAAAAACAAACAUACUCUGUGCUUCCUAUCAAGCUUUUUAAGCUCCAAGCGAUGCAACUCGGCAUUGAGUUUCCUCCACUUCUCUUCAAGCUCAAGUGCAUUCUCUGGCUAAUGGAACACAUUCCUUCAUGGCAAACUUGGGG
rnacentral:lncRNA from 1 species